CCUACGGGGGGCAGCAGUGGGGAAUAUUGUGCAAUGGGCGAAAGCCUGACGCAGCGACGCCGCGUGAGGGAUGAAGGUCUUCGGAUCGUAAACCUCUGUCAGCAGGGAAGAACGGUCACUGUGCUAAGCAGCAGUGAAUUUACGUUACCUGCAAAGGAAGCACCGGCUAACUCCGUGCCAGCAGCCGCGGUAAUACGGAGGGUGCGAGCGUUAAUCGGAAUUACUGGGCGUAAAGCGCUCGUAGGCGGUAUGUCAAGUCAAGUGUGAAAUCCCCGCGCUCAACGUGGGAACUGCCUUUGAAACUGGCAAACUUGAGUGUGUGAGAGGAUAGUGGAAUUCCAGGUGUAGGGGUGAAAUCCGUAGAUAUCUGGAGGAACACCAGUGGCGAAGGCGACUCUCUGGAACAUAACUGACGCUGAGGAGCGAAAGCGUGGGUAGCAAACAGGAUUAGAUACCCGUGUAGUC
rnacentral:rRNA from 1 species